rnacentral:lncRNA from 1 species
AGUCAUAGCCUGGUGCCUCAGCUACUGGAGUGCAGUUCUGGAGAACAGAGCUGUCAUUAAAAGAAACGAGCCUGCCUUCUUGUAUCCAAACACAAGAUAGGGUGAGAUUGAUUCAGCAAAACCCAGAGUCCUGUGAGUUAGCACAACCGGCUCCCGCGGAUGGCUGGCUGCGCGAGCUGGAGAAACCUCAUAGCACCUUGCACCAGUCGCACAGCUGCUGGCACACAAGAAACAAAGGACCCUUGAAAUAACUUCCUCAUGGAGGCAUGAGCAAAGCAUAUGUUGGACUUUAAACGUAUUUGCCUAGCGUGUUCUGGGUGCUACGAAAUGCAAAUAAAGACGCUGGCAUCAAAAGGGGAUGGAGUGCU